GUGACCUGCGGAAGGAUCAUUACCGAGUGCGGGUCCUUUGGGCCCAACCUCCCAUCCGUGUCUAUUAUACCCUGUUGCUUCGGCGGGCCCGCCGCUUGUCGGCCGCCGGGGGGGCGCCUUUGCCCCCCGGGCCCGUGCCCGCCGGAGACCCCAACACGAACACUGUCUGAAAGCGUGCAGUCUGAGUUGAUUGAAUGCAAUCAGUUAAAACUUUCAACAUGGAUCUCUUGGUUCCGGCAUCGAUGAAGAACGCACGAAAUGCGAUAACUAAUGUGAAUUGCAGAAUUCAGUGAAUCAUCGAGUCUUUGAACGCACAUUGCGCCCCCUGGUAUUCCGGGGGGCAUGCCUGUCCGAGCGUCAUUGCUGCCCUCAAGCCCGGCUUGUGUGUUGGGUCGCCGUCCCCCUCUCCGGGGGGACGGGCCCGAAAGGCAGCGGCGGCACCGCGUCCGAUCCUCGAGCGUAUGGGGCUUUGUCACAUGCUCUGUAGGAUUGGCCGGCGCCUGCCGACGUUUUCCAACCAUUUUUUCCAGGUUGACCUCGGAUCAGGUAGGGAUACCCGCUGAACUUAAGCAUAUCAAUAAGCGGAGGAAAAGAAACCAACCGGGAUUGCCUCAGUAACGGCGAGUGAAGCGGCAAGAGCUCAAAUUUGAAAGCUGGCUCCUUCGGAGUCCGCAUUGUAAUUUGCAGAGGAUGCUUUGGGUGCGGCCCCCGUCUAAGUGCCCUGGAACGGGCCGUCAGAGAGGGUGAGAAUCCCGUCUUGGGCGGGGUGUCCGUGCCCGUGUAAAGCUCCUUCGACGAGUCGAGUUGUUUGGGAAUGCAGCUCUAAAUGGGUGGUAAAUUUCAUCUAAAGCUAAAUACUGGCCGGAGACCGAUAGCGCACAAGUAGAGUGAUCGAAAGAUGAAAAGCACUUUGAAAAGAGAGUUAAACAGCACGUGAAAUUGUUGAAAGGGAAGCGCUUGCGACCAGACUCGCCCGCGGGGUUCAGCCGGCAUUCGUGCCGGUGUACUUCCCCGUGGGCGGGCCAGCGUCGGUUUGGGCGGCCGGUCAAAGGCCCCUGGAAUGUAGUACCCUCCGGGGUACCUUAUAGCCAGGGGUGCAAUGCGGCCAGCCUGGACCGAGGAACGCGCUUCGGCACGG
rnacentral:rRNA from 1 species